CCUAGGUUCAGAAGAGAACCUCAGUAUCUGUAUUCAGAUCCUGUGGAGAAGAACUUAAAGGCAUCUAGUGCUGAGGCUUACAUUCCAACAAGAGACUGGGAGCUUAAAAAUUAGGAGCUGUGGCACCUUACACGAAGGAAAAAAUAGUGGGGAUGCAAAGUCCAGUGUUAAGAGGUACAUGCUGCUACAGCACCAGACUUUGGCGAUCAGGACAUGGUUUAUAUAGCUGAGAGGCUGAGGAACACUCAGGACAGUUACCUGCCAGCUGGGUCACUCUGCUCCCAAAUAC
rnacentral:lncRNA from 1 species